UCACAACAUGAAUGUUUAUAACAAAUGUUUAACAAAAUGAAAGUUGUUAUACAUUAAUAAACUUAUAAUAUUUUGCCAUAAGUCUGACGAUACGUGAUUUUCUUGAUUCUAUAACACAAUAGGAUUAGCAGGUCCGGGAUUAAUAUCCAUAUGUUUCCUACACAUUUAUCAAAAUGUCGAGUAUUAAAUAAUAUAUAAAAAUUCCCAUCAAAAAUGAUAUGAGCAGCUGAAUCAAUUUCACAGUCUAGGGAUUGAGCCUCAAAGAAGUGAGAAUCAACAUAAGGAGGUCAUAAGGAGUACAUGUACAAAAAAAUAAUCUUGGUGCAGCUCCCAUAAAUAGACACAAUUCAAAACUAGGAACUUCAGAAACUUAUCAGCCUAUUAUUACAUGAUCAGCCAAAAAAAACAACAAAACAAGUGGUUUCUAACUUAAUUUUCAUCCAACCGAACUCCAUGAUGAUUAAACUUUCAAAGUAAGUCUUCAGAUUAUAAAUGAAAAAUUAAAAAUGGAAUCACAACAAUGUAGUGAUGCCCCUAGUAACAAAGAUCAAAACAACACAAAAUGAAGAAACAAAAUGACAGAAUUGCGUUAGGGCAAUCUGUUGAUGUUCAAGACAGAUACAAAAGCAAAAUUACCUGGUUAAUCGCUUAAGGGUUUUGACAAUUUGACAGAUGAAUCGGCCGAAAAAGGAUAGAGGCUUGCAAUCGGUCAGAAAUAGCAGUCGCAGGGAGGGUUAAGUCUUCAACAGUCGGAGGGAGGGAUUAGGCCAAGUCGCAGAGAGGGAACAGGCCUUCAACAGUCGCGGGGAGGGUUUAGGCUCUGAAAUCGUAGCAGCAGAACUUUCUCUCAGGGAGGGUUUAGGCUUUGAAAUCGCAGCAGCAGAGUUUAGGCUUUGAAAUCGCAGCCGCAGAUCUAUCGGAGGGAGGGAAUAUGAGUCGAAGGGAGGUCGGACGGAGGGAGGGAAUAUGAUUCGAAGGGAGGUCAAACGGAGGGUUUAUGCGAAGUUGAAGGUUUAGGGAGUCGAAGGUUUAGGGGGUCUGAAGUAUUCAGUCGAAGGUUUAGGGGGUCUGUAGAAUUCUGUCGAAUGUUUAGUUAGGGUCUGGAAUCGUCCGCUACUUCAAGUAGCCUAUGGGAUGAGGGAAAAUUCGGUUGAAAUUUUUCUAAUUGACGUCCGCUAGACGAACUGGCGAACGGGGAGCUCCAUUUUUUAAUCUGCGCCCUUAAUUAAUGGGAUGAACGGUUAUGAUGCUAUUUGCCCAAUUCUCAUCCAUAGAAAAUACUUGCUAUGGAUCAUCUCCCAUAUAUAUCUCCCAUAUAUAUAUAUAUAUAUAUAUAUACAGAAAACUAAGAGUGAGAAAUUUUUGAGGCCGACCUUUAACGCAUAAUCCUUAUGCCAAAUCAACAGCUCUGAUUUCCAAAAGCUUGAAUGUCUAUCUCCUUCGCUUCAGAGCCGUAUAUGAGUUUUGGUGUGUUAAGAACG
rnacentral:lncRNA from 1 species